rnacentral:misc_RNA from 1 species
UCCAAAUGUCCGACCCACACAAUCCGGCCUCCGUUUUCUGACAAGAUUCUGAGAACAGUUGUGUGAUUUCAAUCCUCACGAGCUUGCAGAUGCGAGCCUCAGUUUUGCUUGUAAUAUCAAUCCCGCUUCAUCUGCCAUGCUUUUCUUCUUCGAAGUCACCUCAAAAAGCUCUUCAUAAUUGGAUUUAAGCAAAUUGAUUUUUCGUUCACAGUAAUCCUUGCCUUCAGCCAUGGUUUUCUCGAUGAAAUAACCCGUCCCGACAUCAACAAGCACCUUCUCCGCAUCAUCGAGAGUCCCGGUAACGUACAGCGACGCCG